rnacentral:rRNA from 1 species
GAUGAACGCUGGCGGCGUGCCUAAUACAUGCAAGUCGAGCGAACGGACGAGAAGCUUGCUUCUCUGAUGUUAGCGGCGGACGGGUGAGUAACACGUGGAUAACCUACCUAUAAGACUGGGAUAACUUCGGGAAACCGGAGCUAGUACCGGAUAAUAUUUUGAACCGCAUGGUUCAAAAGUGAAAGACGGUCUUGCUGUCACUUAUAGAUGGAUCGGCGCUGCAUUAGCUAGUUGGUAGGGUAACGGCUUACCAAGGCAACGAUGCAUAGCCGACCUGAGAGGGUGAUCGGCCACACUGGAACUGAGACACGGUCCAGACUCCUACGGGAGGGAGCAGUAGGGAAUCUUACGCAAUGGGCGAAAGCCUGACGCAGCAACGCCGCGUGCGUGAUGAAGAUCUUCGGAUCGUAAAACUCUGUUAUUAGGGAAGACCAUAUGUGUAAGUAACUGUGCACAUCUUGACGGUACCUAAUCAGAAAGCCACGGCUAACUACGUG